UUUCAGCGGGUUGCUAUUAUUUUCCUGUUGAUUGCGGGCCUAAUCCAAUUAGCAACAACACAAUAGCCGGCUGGCCAAUUUUCAAGCUAGCUUUUUUGCUACCAAAGCAAAAAAAAUGUUCACUGCUGAUUUCAGCGGAAAAUCACUCAUCCCGAAAUUUUUCUCUUUGUAUUAACUUUCUUUCUCUUUGUGUUAACUUUCCGUCUCUCUUACAUAGAUCAAUUGCCACUUUAUAAAAAUAGCUUCUAUUCUCUAGGGUAUCAUUCAAUGGGCUGGAAAGCUAAAAAACUCACUUUAGAACCGCGAAUCUGCCUUUGAUAAAUCACUUAGAAAUUGUUUUCCCUGCAAAAAAGUUGGUGAAAGAAGAGUACUCAAAAAUUUCAUCCCAAUUCAUCGAAAUUCGAUGUUUUCGCGUCAUACAGAUUUAUUGACUUCUUUAUCGUGAGUUCUUUUGACAACUUAUAGGUUCAUUUCCUAUGUUUUUUGAACAUUUCUUAUAAGCAUAUCUUUGCGAUCAGCAUAAAAACAACACAAAAAAACCUCGUAGCAAAAACUUCUCUCAGCUUCACAAAUUGAUCUGAGAAUUUCAUUUUUCCAAAAACAUUACAAUUAUAACUAAUUGGCUAUAAGCAGAUAACAGAAAUUUAAUUCAGUUUUUGGACUUAAUUUUUUGAUUGCUCAUAGGCGGCAACAUUUUAAAUUCAACUCGAAAACCUUUCGGGUUAUUGUCCAAAACUACCCACUUUAAACCGUCCCUUUCAAAGGAACUUUGCAAUUGAACAAAUUGAAUUAAAUGGUUUAUCGACUAGUUUGUUGUUUGUGUUGGCGCAUUUGUAUUUGUGGUGUAUUACUAAAGUUCAAUAGGGGAUAUAACACCUAUCACCACAUAUGAGACUUUUAAGUUCCGUCUACCGCGAUUGCAGAGAAGACAACAUCUACGACGACAGACUAUUUAUCAUUUUUUAAAGGUUCAUCUUGAGAAUCAUAUUUGCAAUUUUUGAUUUCUGCAAACUGUCCGCUUUAAUUUCCUUUAUUAUUAUCAUUUGCAUCGCCUGCGCCAGGACGCUUUACUUUUUCUGCAUUCGUCAUAUUUUCGACCUAUCCGGGAUAAAUUACGCGCCGAUGAAUAUUCAUCAUAAUAAUCACCUACACCUUCGCUCUGUGCGCCAGGGUUAAAAAAGUCUACCAUUUCUUUAUGUCUGAGCCACUUUAUUUGAUGGCUGAUUACUUCAAAGACGCGACUGAAAAUGCCCAAUUUUAAAAGCAGCUUUUAUGAUUUCCAGCAGUUUAUGAUUUCCAGCACUUCAAUAAAGUUCAAUUCUUCGAGAAAGCAUGAUUGUGCCGCAAAUAUCUAAAUUAAAUCUUUUAUCUGAAUGUUAUUUUUCGUUCUUUUAUAAUUAACUUAUUUGUUGAAUUUUGACUGAAUUAAUUAGCUCACUUUCUUUAUUCUUAUUUUGUUAUAUCUUUGCUCAGUUCUGCCCUGGGCUGGAUUUGAUGACAGCUUGAAAUUCAGCGGUGAAUGAACCUCUUCAAAUGAUUUUGAGGAUUUUCUCUCAUUUCAGGGUAAGAAGGAUGGGUUCUAGUUUGCGCUUCCAGGACGGGAUCUAUGCGGCCCUGUUGGCAGUCGGAACAUUCUACCUCAUUUUCUUCGUCUCCAUCGUCCUCCUCAUUUUCCUCAAAUACAUGGGGGAGAGGUGCGUGGGAUCCUCCUCCUCCGGAACCCAACACCACCUGAUGGGGGAGUCCAGGCCGGAGAGACCCAGAGACACAAUACACCAUAUGCAACAU